rnacentral:lncRNA from 10 species
AUGCAAAAUGAGGCAGAACUUAGCUUGUCACAUAGGUGUAUUCUUCCUGGAACCGAUGCGGGGUCAGAAAACUGAUGGCUUUUAAGCAAGCUGGACGGGUCCUCUCAGCGCAUUCCCCCACCCGCCUGGCGCCAAUGGAGCUGGCCUGGCCCGCCCAGCCCCUCCCCGCCCCGUCCGCGCUCGGACCGGACUUUCAGGACUGCAGGGGAAAGGGUGGACACCCAGCCUCCCGCCAGGAGGAUACAAAAAUACAUCAGUUUGCAAACCAGAAGAAGGUCCUCACCAGAAACCAACUAUGCUGGCACCCUGAUCUUGGACUUCUAGCCUCCAGAACUGUGAGAAAUAAAUGUGUGUUUAUAAACCAGUCAGUCAGUCUAUGGUGCUUUAUUAUAGCAUCUGGAACGAGCUAAGACAGCUGCUAAGUAGCAUUCCAUUUGACAAGGAAGACUUACCAUUCACACUACUUCUGAGUUCAAUGAAAGAGAGGCUCGCAAUAGAAAACUUAUACAGUACUUUCUAUGGUCAGUUGUGAUCAUAAAAAGAGAGUAAGAAGAAAAACAACUCUGAAAGACAAGAUUUGGUUUCUCUCUUUCAUUGUACACAUAAAAUAAGACUUGACCAUCUGGAAAAAGGAAGCCUGAGAAUGAAUAUAUAAGAAGAGGACAUAAAAUGGUGGAAAGAGAAAGCAUGGUUUUAGCAGCCAAAUUCUGAAAUAAGGCUAAACCUACAUGGAGGCAUUUCUUCAGCUUGAAGGAAGGAAUUUAACCCAAAGACAUUGGAAAAUGACUUGACAGAGUCACACAGGAAAUUGUUGUAGGAAUUAGAACUAGAAAUCUGGUCUCCUGAUGAUCAUUUCUAGGAAUGGCUACUAAAAAAUCAAAGAAAAAGAUUUCAAUAGAACUAGAAAUCUGGUCUCCUGAUGAUCAUUUCUAGGAAUGGCUACUAAAAAAUCAAAGAAAAAGAUUUCAAUCAUCUUAAAGCAAACAGUCUCAUACUGGAGUGGUGAGGAUGGUAAAUUUUAAAGAAAACAGGCCCUCUUUGAUGUAACACUGGUUAACCCAUUAAGCCACAGUCUCUACUAUUACAGCUUUUGGAUGUGACCAAAUCUCUCCAAAUUGAAGUAACAAGCAAGGCCAAAGCAGCCACACUCUUUUUGGGUGGAUUUGUCUCCCCUACACACCAUUCUUUCCCAUAUACUAGAUGUUUAGUAACUUUUGUCUCAGAUAGACUGAAGACACUAAAAGCUGCUAUUGUUCAUUAAAAAGCAAGGCCAAAGACAUGCUGGGCUAAUAUGGUACACUAAAGUUGGUAAUUUGAUUGGUUUGGACUGAUUGCCUACAACUGUCUGAUUAAAUGUUAAAAUACAAAAAUUACAGGAUAUCAUUAUAUCUGGGGGAAAUAAUGUAAUGCCUGCACAACCCAAGCCAUAUCCUAUUACUCUUCCCUAUGAAGGGCCUGGAUGUCAUUCAAUUUUUCCAAAGUAAAGCAAGGUGCAAGGUCAAAAUAGACCCACAAUGUAAUCUGUCCUCUCUCAGAAUGUAAUAACGUUACUUUCUUACUGGCUUUGUUAGUUACAGGCUAACGUCAACCACAGUCUUAACAACCUGACGGAACAGGUUCAGAGACCUGGGAGCCUGAAGGGAAAAUGAAAAUAACAAAAACAAAAAACAAGAAAGGUGCUGGCUGAACAAUGGCUAAAAUGAAAAUAGCACACAAAGUUAAAAAUUGAAAAACCUAAGAGAGAGAGAGAUAGUAUAUGUGUACGUAUAUGUACGUAUAUGUAUAUUUACUUCCCCUAGGUUAGGAUAUAGAAGGUCCUCAAGCCUGCUUUUAUUUAACUUUGCUGAAAGUUUUUCAGUAGUUUUCCAUCUUUAUGUUCAGACCACAUAAGAAAAUGUCCAAAUAAACCAUCAGAAAGAUUUACAUGUUUUAUAACAAGGAGCCACUUAACUAAACAGACCCAGAAAUUCUCAAUGCCAUUUAGGUAGAUUUCAUCUAUUCACUUGCAUAAAACAUCUGGUGCUCACCA